UUCUGUCCGCCGCCUGCACAAAGCUCUCGGGUUCGGCUCCUGGAGCGGGGUCUGCCCGUGGGUCUGCGAUCCUGUGGAGGGGGACCGAGAGAUUUCAAGUGCUAAAUAAGGGAGGUGAUUGUAAAGGACUCAGAAAGAAUGCGGUGCUGCAGAGGUCACGGUUGAGAGCCGGGCUCUGGGGUUUAGGUUCCCACCGGUCCAAUCUCUGUGUGACCUUGACCAAGCGCCGGGACCCCUCAGAGCCUUCGUUUCUCCCUUGUUAAGCACUGAUGGUACAGCACUAAAAGACACGCUGUUUUUUUGCUGGAGGAAGCUUACCUCCUAAUUGAAUACUCAUUGGAUACUGAGACAAGAAAACAUACCAGUUCAAUAGUGUUGGGAACUCUAAAGCCUAAAUUUGGAGCGCUCAGCGGCUGCCUUUGCCACCAUGUAGAGAGCCUUUUGGUGAACGCUGCCAACACAGAGGAAAAGAGAACUGAAAGACGGAAGAAGAUCACAGAUUCCUGAUGACAUCACUGAAGCCCCUGAACCCUGAAGCACCUGAAGGUGCUGGGGAUCCAGCAGUGACAAGGAAGACAGUCAAGAACUUUGCCCUCCUGCAACCCUCAUUCUACGAGACAAACAAUUGUACAUUACAGCAAACAUGAAGACGAGCAGGAUACCAGUUCAGAUAGUGACAUAAGUGACACCUAGAGGACAGAAAGUUAAAAACCAUCCAGAUGGAUACAGACCACACACACGGCAUCUGCACCUCACUGGGAGGCCCAACUGCUACCCAAAUUCACAGCCCUCUGGGCUUCCUCACCUACACAGGACAGGUAAGAAAUGGAUUUAUUUAGAAAGAAACACACUCCACAGACAGAGUGUGGACCAUCUCAGAAGGCGAAUGAGCCUCAAAAUAUGCUGUGAAAGAAAAAUAGCUCGAUUUGCCCUUGAAUAUAACAAUAGUCAGUGACUGAGAAAAAUCAUUUGCUGUCGUCCUCUGUGUCAGCGUGAUUAGGUUACAAAAGAUUGUGGCUUCUAUCUUGGGUGCUCUCUCUCGCUGUGAUGGAAGCCAGGGGCUGUGUUGCAAGCUCCCACACGGAGAGGCCCUCGAGGCAAGGAACCGAGGGAGGACUCCAGUCAACAGACAUUGAGGAAUUGAGCCCCUCACUCCAACAACCUGUGCGGAGCUGAAUCCUGCCAACAACCACAUCACUCACUCUGGGGAAAACCAGCUGAGGACACUCAAGCAAUCCUAUGGAGAAGUCUAUGUGGUGAGGAACUGAGGCCAACUGCCAACAGCUAGCACUAAUUUGGCAGGCAUGGAUAUAGGCCAUUUUGGAGGUGGAUCCUCCAGUCCCAACCAACUCUUCAGAUAUAGCCCUAGCCGAUGCCUUGACUGCAACCUCAUCAGAGAGACCCAGAGCCUGAACUGAGACAGGCUUGUUGCCGAAAUUAGCCUCUGUACACCGGUGCCGAAUUAAAUCUUGGAGACAGAGUUUUGGGUGAAGUAGAAAGAAAUCGCGUUAUUGCUUUGCCAGGCAAAGGGGACCACAACAGGCUAAUGCCCUCAAGACUGUAUGUCCCACCCUGGACGGGGGUAGUGAGGCGUCUUUAACAGUGUUCGGGGAGCAGGGCGUGAUCAGCUUGUGGACAUUCUUCUGAUUGGUGGUGAGGUAAUUGGGAGUCAGCAUCAUCAACCUUCUGGUUCCAACCGGUCUGGGGUCUACAUGCUUGUGGGCAGCAUACGGUUAACUUCUUCCACCUGGUGGCGGUUUCAGUAUCUGCAGAACAGCUCAAAGGACGUGGCUCUGAAUAUUAUCUGUAGACCUUGGGGAAGAACUAAAGGUCCUUGACUUUG